UGCCGCUUUGGCAGCAAUAUUCUAAAAUUGGAAUGAUUCAAAGAUUAGCAUGGCCUGGGUGCAAGGAUGGAUGACAUGCAAAUUGGUGAAGCAUUCCAUAUUUUU
ensembl:snRNA U6 U6 spliceosomal RNA